UAUAUAUAUAUAUAUAUAUAUAUAUAUAUAUAUGUCUUGAUUGGAUUAUCCAGAGAAUAGUGCUCGAUACCAUGGUAGAGCGCAAUAUGUAGGUGUGGGAAAAAUCACAAGACUACUUCAUCUCUACAGAACUGUUUCAUGAGGGGUUCCCUCAAUCAUCAGGAGAAAUCUCCUGAUGAUUGAUAUAUAUAUAUAUAUAUAUAUGUAAAAACUGCGGCAAUGAUGUGUUGUUUUUUUGUCAUUUAAAAAAAAUCAUAAAAAAAUAAAGAAAACUAGUUUUAACAGAGGGAUGUUUGGUGGGUACAUGUGUUUUUACAUAUAUUAGAUAUUAAAUUAUAUUUAUCGUAUAUACCAUUUGUCAGUUGUUUUGUCUUACAUAAAUGUACUUAUUUGUAUUUUAGCCUCAGCCCAAAAAUUACUGUACAACAAACACCAUCCAAAUCUUUCAUAUGAUAAGAAUUGUAGAUUUGUUGAUUUUAAAAAAGCACCAUGUUGUCAAAUAGGCUUACCAGACUGAUGUUGAAGCGCUUUUGUCCACAAGAGGGCGCUGCACUCUAGUCGUUGAACGCUCUGCAGAGUUCACGUGAGGUCAGCAGGGGAUGACAUCAGUGACGUGCUGUCUGACAAGUCACCUCGCUAACCUCCACACCAACUGCAGGGGCAGGAUAGGGUCAGACUUGGGCUGGAAAGAAGCACAAAAAUCAUUGCAUUGUUUAUUGUAUUGACGACAAUAAAAGCAAGCAACAAGAAA